GGCAUGGUUGUCGUCAGCUCGUGUCGUGAGAUGUUCGGUUAAGUCCGCUAACGAGCGCAACCCUCGCUGUGUGUUAUAUGUGUCACACAGGACUGCUGGUAUUAAGCCGGAGGAAGGUGGGACGACGUCAAGUCAGCAUGACCUUUAUAUCCAGGGCUACACACACGCUACAAUGGUCAGUACAAUGGGUUGCCAAGCCGCGAGGCGGAGCCAAUCCUAAAAAGCUGGCCUCAGUUCAGAUUGCAGUCUGAAACUCGACUGCAUGAAGUCGGAGUUGCUAGUAAACGCAGGUCAGCUGUACUGCGUUGAAUACGUUCCCGGGGCUU
rnacentral:rRNA from 1 species